GAUGAACGCUGGCGGCGUGCCUAAUACAUGCAAGUCGAACGAGUUCUCGUUGAUGAUCGGUGCCUGCACCGAGAUUCAACAUGGAACGAGUGGCGGACGGGUGAGUAACACGUGGGUAACCUGCCCUUAAGUGGGGGAUAACAUUUGGAAACAGAUGCUAAUACCGCAUAGAUCCAAGAACCGCAUGGUUCUUGGCUGAAAGAUGGCGUAAGCUAUCGCUUUUGGAUGGACCCGCGGCGUAUUAGCUAGUUGGUGAGGUAAUGGCUCACCAAGGCGAUGAUACGUAGCCGAACUGAGAGGUUGAUCGGCCACAUUGGGACUGAGACACGGCCCAAACUCCUACGGGAGGCAGCAGUAGGGAAUCUUCCACAAUGGACGCAAGUCUGACGGAGCAACGCCGCGUGAGUGAAGAAGGCUUUCGGGUCGUAAAACUCUGUUGUUGGAGAAGAAGGUCGGCAGAGUAACUG
rnacentral:rRNA from 2 species